AGGGGUAUAGCUCAGUGGUAGAAUGUGUGCUUGGCAUGCACAAGGUCCUGGGUUCAAUCCUCAGUACCUUCA
rnacentral:tRNA from 1 species